AUUGAACGCUGGCGGCAGGCCUAACACAUGCAAGUCGAGCGAGCGGCGGACGGGUGAGUAAUGUCUGGGGCUCUGCCCGAUAGAGGGGGAUAACUACUGGAAACGGUGGCUAAUCCCGCAUACUCUCGGAUGACCCCAUAUGGGAUUAGCUAGUAGGGGGGGUAACGGCUCACCUAGGCGACGAUCUCUAGCUGGUCUGAGAGGAUGCUCAGCCACACUGGAACUGAGACACGGCCCAGACUCCUACGGGAGGCAGCAGUGGGGAAGAUUGCACAAUGGGCGCAAGCCUGAUGCAGCCAUGCCGCGUGUAUGAAGAAGGCCUUAGGGUUGUAAAGUACUUUCAGCGGGGAGGCGUUACCCGCAGAAGAAGCACCGGCUAACUCCGUGCCAGCAGCCGCGGUAAUUC
rnacentral:rRNA from 1 species